rnacentral:rRNA from 1 species
AGUGAACGCUGGCGGUAUGCCUAACACAUGCAAGUCGAACGGCAGCACAGUAAGAGCUUGCUCUUACGGGUGGCGAGUGGCGGACGGGUGAGGAAUACAUCGGAAUCUACUUUUUCGUGGGGGAUAACGUAGGGAAACUUACGCUAAUACCGCAUACGACCUACGGGUGAAAGCAGGGGAUCUUCGGACCUUGCGCGAUUGAAUGAGCCGAUGUCGGAUUAGCUAGUUGGCGGGGUAAAGGCCCACCAAGGCGACGAUCCGUAGCUGGUCUGAGAGGAUGAUCAGCCACACUGGAACUGAAACACGGUCCAGACUCCUACGGGAGGCAGCAGUGGGGAAUGUUGGACAAUGGGGGGAAGCCUGAUCCAGCCAUACCGCGUGGGUGAAGAAGGCCUUCGGGUUGUAAAGCCCUUUUGUUGGGAAAGAAAAGCAGCAGGUUAAUACCCCGCUGUUCUGACGGUACCCAAAGAAUAAGCACCGGCUAACUUCGUG